CACGCCGGCACGGCUAGUCAGCCGACCGACUUCGGCCGACGCGCACGGCGCGACUCCGGCACGCGAACUUAACGGACGAAAUGAAAGUGUAACGUGUUGUUUAGAACUCAGAUUAAGAUAUCAAAACACCAAAAACAAUGCAGUAAAAUGAGAAUAUCAAUCGGUUCGUCACGCGCAGAAUGUGAGGGGAGUUAGCCAGUGACAUGCAACUUGUAAUGCUGAAUUUUCUAAUCAUGUUCGACGUGGUGUUCAUAUUCUUCCUGUUCCUGAUCGCUGUGACGUGUGUUAUGAACUAUAUGCCGGGCCGGAGCAAGCGGGCUGAGGUCACGGAGGACGAGGUGGACGAUGACGUCAUCCCCCCUCCCCCACUGUUCGCAGGAGAUGACAUUGAGGUUCCUACCAGUCGAGACACAUACGUGGUGAUUGCGCCGCCGCUAGACAACGUUAGAGCUAAGGGCAGCUGUCCUGUUCAUGUGGUGUAGUAUAAGCACUGAUAUAAUAUAUCAACGUAGGAGUUUAUAACGAAGAAGCCUUAUGAGAAUGUAGGUGUCGAAAUGUAGACAUUUUUUACCAAUUAGUCGAGUUUUAAAUAAAUUCUUGUUAUAAAGACUAAGAUGGUGGAUUACGGGAAUCAAGUGGAUGUAAAUGAGUUGGUCUGUAUCAUGGGUACUAAACAGAAACCUCUUUCGAUUGCACUUUACGAAGACAUAGGUAUAAACAUAGAGCUGUAAUGCAAAAUAAAAAUAAUAAAUGUAUAGGAGCCGUGUAUAUUGAAAUGUAAUAAAAAUAGUGGCAGUAUUAGAAACGAGUAGCACUAAAUAUUUUUUUAACAUAUUAUUUUAAUAUUCGCUACUGCGUCGCGCAAAUCACAUGAGUACGUUGAAUCAAUUAUGUUGGGGAUUCCAAUAACGUUAUACUCGCUGACGGAUUUAGGGGCCACGUCACGGAGCUGCGACAACAGGGGACUACGCCGCAAAUAUAUAGGUAAUAGACAUGUAAAUAGUCGGAAAACUGAAUAGACCCAGAACGAAAUAAAAGAGGUUUACCCACACCACUGAUACACGGCAAAGCUACGCUAAAUUGAAUGUCAAUAACACACUAAUCGAAUACUUGAAGCUAUCCGUGGUAUUAUGAGAACAUCGCAGUUUUGAGUACAUGUGCUAACACAUUUUGAUACUUUUCAAUGGCCUAAUAGAGUUCCGUUUCCAAUGAAUGUAACAUGCAUAAACAAAUUUGAAUUACGCCUAACUAUGUAAUCGCAUGAGUAAAUAAUUUGUUAUGUAAAGUGUUCAAUAUUCAGAGCAAAUAUAAUGCAAGUGCUUGUAUAAGAUGAAUGUGACUGAAUUAUAGAUAAAUGGUUAAUAAUAUUAGUGUAAUGAAUUAGUUAUACGUUUCGCUUGCUACAGUAUUUGUAUGACAUAGGUAACAUCGUAAAGCUAAUUCUUAGUUCGUCUUUGCUACUAAUGGAAGUAUUGUAAGAUUUCAAAAUGGCUGCCUAAUUUAGUUAUGAGUGUUCUGAAUAGGUAUGUAAAGUGUUAUUGGCUUUUACGAAAAAUGUAUUGUUGGAUGUUUCGACAACUCUUCCUGCUCUUUACAACCUCCAGUACUUAAAUUCCCAUAUAAAAUAUGAUGUCUAUAUCUUUAUUCUAAACUAUUGCGGCCAUGAAUGUUCUCGCUAUAUCUUAUAAACUAGAAGCGUGGUACGUUGUCUAAAUUAUCAUUCGCUGAAUAUGACGCGACAGUCCCUUGGAGGCUUAUCCCAUAAGCUUGUCUAUUUCCGGGCUUCAGAGCGAGUUUACGCACAUCACUAUAACUAGGAAACGAGAGAAAAGCGUUCACAUUUGUGACAUAAACUUUUAUAGAACCAUUUUUCCAAGAAUAAUCUAGAAAGUCUAUUUCAUCAUUAGAAUUAUUGUAAUACAGAGUCAGAACUAUAAGUGUAUAGACUAGAGGGCGAUAAACCUUUGUUCCUAUUCAUUUAAAAAUACCUAGAUUGAAUAGUGAAUUAUUCAUUUGUAAGGAACAAUGGGCCCAAAUGGAGGUGCUCAGGCUCACCACCAAUUAUUACAAGAUCAACGUAUUAUUGAAUUUCUCUGAAGCAGUGACGUCAGAGCUCGCUCUGAAGACCCUUUAUCUCUUCCUAUCGUGACCUAUAAUACCCCUAUAUCCCUAUCUAUUGUCACAAGCCAGGCCUGAAUCACAACGCUUCACCGCUUGCGUCGAAAACAUUCAAUUAUUCGUAAUUAAGAUAAUAAUUUGAAUAAUGAUACAAAUAUCAAUAGACUAACACAAAUAUUUAGAAAUAGUUUAUACAUUAGAUUUAAGAGGUUACUAUAAUAAAAAACGACAAUACAUGUUACGAUGGUUCUUUCAUAUCAUUCUGGUUAAGUGAUUCGUAUUCUUGUAAUUAUAUUUUUUUUUAUUGACAAGUCGAUAGUUUUCUGUAGUCCAUUUUAAAUUAUGAAUAUGUCAACUUAUUAUAAGUAGUUUAGUUUUUUUUUAUUUACUUUUUAAAAUUCUCUCGACUCGCUGUUCUAAAAUUAGAAAGGGCGUAAACUUGAAUUUUAUAUGGAGUGAGUUUAAAAAACCUUUGUGCGGACACAAAGAUAAAUAAAGUGGGUGCGGUUCGCUCUUCAGAUACUCAGUAUAAAAAAUGAUGAAAAGUAAAAUAUUUCAUAAUUUUCUAUGUAGAACAAAUGUUUGAAUACAAUUUUUGUUUUUUGUAUAAGUAAUUCCAAGAUAUUUAUGUUGUCCGCAUUUAGUAAAUGGUAUGUUUCUUAAUGCUAAUUAAAACGUGAAUGUAGCGAAUUAAUUACCAACAUAAUAGAUAUUUCUUUAGACAUCUUUACAGACCGAAACAUUAAUGAAUUCGUUUGGAAUUCUUGGAAACUUCGGCAGCUAAGUUCAUUAAGUAUUUGUUGGGCACCCCUUAAAUAAAUCAUUCUAAGACUUCGCAAUGAAAAUGUCGAACAUUUUUUGAAGAAAAUGAAAUUAAAUCUCACUCUAUUUGUUUCACUAGUUCGAAACUUUCAUUCAUAUAGAGCGUAGGUACCUGAAACAAAUUUAACACAAAAUAUUAAUUAAAGAGGUAAAAAAAAGAUAAAUAAAUUAUUUCAAAAUUUGAAUAGUAAUGAGUAUAAAAAUCAAAAAACAUACACUAUGUGAUAUAAAUAUACACAAUUUUUAAAAAUGUAGUUGUAUAGAAGAAAUUAACGCAUUGUUUUGAAUUUAUUGUUAUAUUUGCGUUAUCUGAGGACGCAUAAUAAUAAUGUAAUUAAUAAAAUGCACUAAGGCAGUGUCGUCAUAAUA